CCCCUCACUGUGCGUCGCCCAAUGCGUCGCACUGUGCGUCGCACUAAUGCUUUUUCCUGUCAGACCACAAAAAAUCCAGUCUCUGAACUUUAGAGAUUUCUAACAAAACUUUGUACUAAUGCGUCACACAAUGCCUCGUACAGUGCCUCGCACUAGUGCAUUUCUUCAGCUUUUGCAUCUUCCUUGAAUUUUGACGUCCAGAAUUGAUCCUCGACCCCCGAACAUGAUCCUGGCUUCAUCCCUUGGGCUUUUACUCAGACUUCAAAGCUCCACAUAGCUUGAAUUAGUUUCACAACAUCUACAUAACUCAGAAUCGCUCCUACAAGGUAUAAAACACACAAUAAGUGCAAAACGCUAGCGAUUAAAGCUCAAACAAAAUAAAAGUGCAGUAAAUUAGAGUGCGAUAAGCGACUAACAUAUGCAAUUAUAGCCUACCAUCAACACCCCACACUUAAACCAUUGCUCGUUCUCGAGCAAUCAAACUACACUUUAUAUAGACACAAUAUUUUUAUACAAUCCUCCUAAUCAUUACACCAACAAUAUUUAAAAUAGACUAAGCACAAUAGUGUAACAUCAUCACCUCAAGAUUUGACUCACAAGCACCACACGUUUUUCACAACCCGCUCACUUACUCUAACAUAGAGGUCAAGCAUUACCUUUACUUUAUGAAUCAAAUGCCCUCACACAAUAAAAGAGAGUAGUUCCACACUCAAUAAAAUUUAAGAACAAUUACGAAUGCAAGAUAGAAAGAAUGCUCUCACUCUCGCAAACAACAUUCAUAUGCCACAAAAGAUGCACCAUAGGCUUGCUCGUAGUGUACUGCUCUACUAAUCGAGCUCAUUCAGUCUAAGAUCAAGUAGGACUUUAAUUGGUUGUAAUGUAGGUUGCGGGACGGGUAUGAUACAUUUAGAUAUAAGAGUUACUACACCUCCCUAAUCACUUUAAUACAUACACUUUAACAUUUAAAAUCCCACACUUAUGUCAAACCAUAAUUCCACCUUCACAUCAAUAUACAUCAACUCCCUAUUUCUUUAAGCAUAUUUACAUCAAGAGUUACCACUUUCAAGGAAUAUUGUUUACAAUAAUACAACUAUUUUUCUUUCUUUUCUCUUUCAAUUCAAGUGACUCUUACUUUUUUAAAGCAGUGCACCUUUCUCCUUAUUUCAUUAGUUCCAUUCAAAAGCCAAAUCAACCACCCACACUUUAACUUUUACAAAGUUCAUAACAAUUCCAAGUGCUCUUGAGAGGUGAAAAGGUUCAAACAGAUGGUUAAUUCAAACAAAUGGGUAAGAUUUGUAAUAUGGUUGCCAAAGAAAUAUGAUUACAGGCUCAAAGGGGUUAACUACGAUACAUAACAAUUAGGGGGUAAAUGCAUAUAACUGGCUCAGCAAAGAAAUGCCUAUAUCACUUUCUAGACUGACUGAAACUACUAAUUUGCUUUACAAACAUACGGGGCAAGUUCAAGACAUAAAAUGAAAUGCACAGAAUAACACACAAACGUCACACACACAUGGCACACAACUCACUCAGGAUUGGACUCAUCAAGAUACUCUAGUCAAAGCAGUUAAGCAAAGUUAAGAUCAUACAAUUUAAGGUACUUAUACAAGAGUCAAAAACUGAGUAUAAACGUCACAACCAAAGUACUCACUAUUCUCAAGUCAUAACAAAGUCAAGAGAUACUACUUCAAUUCCAAUCACAAUACAAUAGCUACUACUCCUAAAAACAAAAAACUAACUACACCCAGUUCAAACAAAACUCUUGGAAAAGAACUGCAGCACAAAGAAAAGCCAAGAGUAAUUGCUACACUACCUACGAAGAAAAUAUUUUUGUCCUUUUUCUUUCGACUUAAAUCCCUCAAGAAAACUGUCUAAGAGAUUCAUCGUCGGAAAAAGUCCUAAUUUCCUGGUUUUUUAAAAACAAAAACUACUACUCUAAGAACGAGUAUUACAACUAAGCUAAGAUAGCACAGAAAAUCACCCAGAUAAUCUUCUCACCCCACACUUAAAAUUUGCAAUGUCCCCAAUGCAUACGAUAAAUAACAAGAAGGUAAAAGAGACUCCUUGAUAGGACAAAGGCCGAAGUAUUAGCAUCUCAUGGGAUACUCAGACUUCUCCCAGUAAUGAUCCUUUGUGUGGGCAUCUCACACUUAGUUUCAACCAUCUAGCUCGCUUUUUGCACCCUUCCAUUGGCUUUGCUUCCUAUUAUUAUAAUCCUACAAAAGAAAAAUAGACAGUACAAAAAUAUUAUAAUAUAAAUAAAAAAAAAUAGUAAAGCUGGGUUGCCUCCCAAUAAGUGCUUUAUUUAACGUCGCAACACGACGCAAAGCCUCGCUUACCCAUCAACGAGUGCAACUUUGGUCUUCUCACGAUCAAUUAUUCUUCCCCAAUAGUGCUUGACUCUAUGUCCAUUCACUAAAAAUUCCUAUCACCAUUUAAAGCACGCAACUCAAUUGCACCAUAAGGAGUGACUCUCACCACCUCAAAUGGGCCUGGUCAUCUCGUUUAACUUCUCAGGAAAUAACUUGAGCCUAGAAUUGAAUAUAAUACCUAUUGGCCUGGCUUGAAGUGAUGUGGCUUGAUACAUUUGUCGUGCCAUCUUUUCGUUUUCUCUUUGUAAAGCUUAGCAUUUUCGUAAGAGUGCAAUCUAAACUCAUCUAACUCAUUCAACUGCAAGAGUCUUUUCUCACCCGCGGCUUCAAGGUCCAUAUUCAACUUUUUAAUGGCCUAGUACGCUUUGUGUUCAAGUUCAACAGACAAGUGACAUGCCUUCCCAUAAACAAGCUUAUACGGCGACGCCCCAAUUGGCAUUUUGUAUGCAGUUCUAUAUGCCCACAAGGCAUUAUCUAACUUUGCAGCCAAAUCCUUCCUAUUCACACUCACCGUCUUCUCUAAGAUUUGCUUUAUUUCUCUGUUAGACACCUCAACUUGUCCACCUGUUUGAGGAUGAUAUGUUGUAGCAACUUUAUGUCGGACUCUAUAUUUCGAAAGAAGGUUAUUCAAUAACCGAUUGAAAAAUGUGUCCCUUCAUCACUAAUCAAGGCACGUGGAGUCUCAAACCUCAAAAAUAUGUUCUUUUUCACAAAUGCAGCUACCACCAUGGCAUCAUUUGUUGGCAAUGUGGUCGCCCCUACCCAUUUUGACACAUAGUCAACUGCUAGCAAGAUGUAUUUAUUUCCUCUGGACAAAGGGAAUGGUCCCAUAAAAUCUAUCCCCCACACACAAAAAAUCUCAACCUCCAGAAUGUUAUUCAAAGGCAUCUCAUGCCUCCUUAUGAUUGUUCCUAUUCUCUGAUGCUGGUCACACUUCUUAACAAAUACAUGAUCAUCCUUGAAUAAUGUUGGCCAAAAAAACCCGGAUUGUAGUACCUUUGCAGCUGUUCUAUCGCCUCCAUAAUGGCCCCCAUAAGGUGAUGCAUGACAAUCAUAUAACACUAAUUCUACCUCCUUUUCUGGAAUGCAUCUCCUCAUCAACUGAUCAACACACUGCUUGUACAAAUAUGGCUCAUCCUAAUAGUAGAAGUUCACAUCAUGUAAAACCUCUUUCUAGCUUCACCUUCAAUUUCAGGAGAAAGUACCCCACUCACAAGAUAAUUCUCAUAGUCUGCGUACCAUGGGGGAGGGUCUUAGGUAAUAGAAAAAAGUUGCUCAUCAGGAAAUGCCUCUUUAAUUUUUCCACCCUCCUCCAUGUGGUCAUGAUUUUCUAGACUUGAUAGAUGGUUAGAUACUUAGUUCUCUGUGCCCUUUCGAUCUCAUAAUUCUACAUCAAAUUCCUAUAAUAACAAGACCUAGUGCAUUAAUCUAGCCUUGGAUUCUUUUUUUGUAAAUAGAUACCUGAUUGUUGCAUGAUCGGUAUGGACUAUGACUUUUGUUCCCACCAAGUAUGCUCGAAAUUUCUCAAAGGCCCACACAACGGUUAACAACUCCUUUUUAGUGGUAGUGUAAUUCAAUUGUGCAUCAUUAAGAGUGUUACUCACAUAGUAGAUGAAAUAAAAUACCUUGUCUUUCCUCUAGCCUAGCACUGCCCUAAUAGCAUGGUCACUUGCAUCACACAUAAGUUUAAAUGGUAAGGACCAAUCCGGUGCCGCAAUAAUGGGAGCAACCACCAACUUCUUUUUGAGCUCUUCAAAUGCCUUGAGGCAGGCAUCAUCAAAACUGAAAGUUACAUCUUUCCAAGCAACCUGUACAAAUGAGUAGCAAUUUUGGAAAAAUCCUUAAGAAAGCGCCGAUAGAAUCCCACGUAUCCCAAGAAACUCUGGACACCCUUCAUAAAAAUAGGUGGAGGUAAUUUUUCAACCACCUCCACCUUCGCCUUAUCAACUUCAAUGCCGCUCCUAGACACUCUGUGACCCAACACGAUGCCUUUCUGCACCAUAAAGGCAUUUUUUCCAAUUCAAUACCAGAUUUGUUUUUUCACAACGGGCUAACAACUUGCUCAAAUUCUUCAAAUAGUCAUCAUAAGAAGACCCAAAGACUGAAAAUCAUCCAUAAAGACUUCUACAAAUUUUUCCACCAUAUCGGUGAAAAUAACCAUCAUGCAUCUCCGGAAAGUGGCUGGUGCAUUACAUCCAAAUAGCAUGUGCUUGAAGGCGAAAGUGCCAUAAGGACAAGUAAAAGUGUUCUUCUCCUGAUCCUCUAGGCAUAUGACAAUCUGAUUGUAUUCCGAAUAACCAUCAAGGAAGCAAUAAUAUUCAUGCCUCGCUAAUCUGUCCAACAUUUGGUCAAUGAAUGAAAGUGGGAAGUGGUCCUUGCGGGUUGAUUUGUUGAGUCUUCUAUAAUCAAUGCAAACUCUCCACCCCAUCACAAUUCAAGUAGGAAUUAGCUCAUUUUUCUCAUUCUCAACCAUAGUCAUCCCCCCUUUUUAGGCACACAUUGAACCGAGCUUACCAGUUACUGUCAGAGAUAGGAAAGAUGAUAUCUGUAUCGAGCCACUUAAUUACUUCCUUCUUCAUGACCUCCUUCAUAAUGGGAUUUAACCUCCUUUGCUGGUCAACACUGGGGCGGUGUCCAUCUUCCAAGAAGAUUUUAUGCAUGCAAAACGAUGGACUAAUUCCCUUGAUGUCAACAAUUGCCCACCCAAUAGCCUUUUUAUGCUCGCGAAAUGCUCUGAGCAAUUUUUCUUCUUGUAUAUUAGUCAAUCUGGAUGAGAUAAUCACUUGCAAUGUCUCAUAGUUCCCCAAAUAAGCAUAGCACAGAUGCACUAGAAGGGGUUUAAUUUCUAGCUUUGGAGCUUUUUCAAUAGAUGGCUUAGGAGGAGUCAGAGUGACAGGCCUGUCCAACUCCUCAAAUUUUCCAAACCCAUGGACAUAACUGCAAGACAUGUCAAGUAAUUGCUCAAUUUCUCCCAUUAUUUCAUCUUCACUAUCUUCUUCAUCCCCAAUCAAAGCUCAUUCAAGAGGAUCUAUGGGGCUCAUAUAAGGCACUAAUGUCGUAGCAUUAUUUUCCACCACAAAAAUCAUGGAUAGCUCUUCAUAGUGGGCUGGCAAUCUAAGUGCUUUAUAUACAAUGAAUACCUCAUAUCGUGCCCCUUUUUCUCGCAAAAUCGGGUUUCGACAUGUGACAACUCUUUUAAGGAAGGUGUUAAAAGAGAAAGUCACCACCUAACGGGUUUGAGGUGCGUUAGGGCACCUAUUUGCAAAUAACUCAGGUUUAACCAGUUUGCGUCACCAAAGGUCGGGUAAAGGCUCAAAUUACCUCGAAGAGAUGGUGUUAGGCACUCUUCGAGGUCCACAGCUAUGGGUCCUAGCCGAACUCGAAUUUUAUGAAUUAGUCAGAAAAACAAAGAAAGCAAAAAUUCAUUAUUAAAAGAUUUUAAAUAAACACAAGCAAUUGAUUUGAAGACAAUAUGGGGGGGGGGGGUCCUAAAUUUUUUAGCCUAAAGGAUUACCCCGUACAAUAUAAAUAAUACUUAGUAACUCCCUCAAGAUGGGGUGUUACUCGUAUUAUUCAGAGAGCACAAACUAUCAUCUCCUGCUACCCGAUUACUGUCUUUAAGUUGUUACCUAAGGCUUACUAAUUGAUUCUAAACCGUACCUUAUGCGUGCACUACCCGUCCCAUACCUAUAGUCCAGGAGGCGUUUGGACCUCUAUUUUGGGUGGUUCUAGACUUAACUUAGGUUGCUCAAAAUGAGAAAACUAGGUGACAUACAAAACAAGUUGGACUUUAUAUAAAAGCAGUUAAGGGAUCAAGUUAGCCUCCACACUUAGACAACAAAAGCACGCAAACAAAUUAGGCGUUUGAUAGUUUUAGAAUUUAGACAAGUUAAAGUCAUUAAGCCCUAUAAGCAUGAUUUCUAGGUGACCUUGGAAUUCAAAUAUGUAGGUUGUUUCAGAUGCAAUGUGCUAUUUUAGAGGCAUGCUUUUCGAAUAACUAUCUAUUUGCGACCCAUCCAGUCGUCUUAAGAAUUCAUGCCCCGAUCCCCUAUUAACUACUUUCUCCAAGCUUAUUUCUGCUAUUUUUAUUUGCUGGGAUGUUCGGUUUUGAGUUUCGGAGAGUUUUGGGACAUUUAGUCCCUAAAUGAGAGCUUAAGUGUUGGAAAGUUGACCGUAGUCAGAAUAAUGUGAAGACAACCUCAGAAUGAAAAUCCGAUGGUUCUGUUAGCUCUACUAGGUGAUUUUGGGCUUAGGAGCGUGUUCAGAUUGUGAUUUGGAGGUCCGUAGCAAAUUUAGGUUUGAAAUGCCGAAAGUUGAAUUUUUGAAGUUUUCGAGGGUCGGAAUGAAGUUCCGGAAGUUGGAGUAGUUCCGUAGUGUUGAAUGUGAUGUGUGUGCAAAAUUUCAGGUCAUUUGGACGAGUUUGCUAGACUUUUUGAUCGAAAGCGUAUUUUGAGAAAAUUUGGAGGUCUUAGGCUUAAAUCAUUGGUUAAUUUGAGGUUUCGAUGUUGUUUUAGGUGUUUUAAGGAUUGAUACAUGUUUGGGUAGUGUUUUUUGACUUGUUUGUGCCUUUGGUUGAGGUCCCGGGGGCCUCGGGAUGAAUUCGAAUGGUUGACGGAGGAAAUUUUGGAGUUUAAGUUGCAGCUUCAGUUGCUGGUGCUGUCAUAACUGCACUUGCGGUUUUGGUUCCGUAGGUGCGGCUACGCGAUCGCAGGAGCAGAGUUGUGGAGGAACAGCAGGUUCCGCAAAUGCUGGUAGUUAACCGUAGAAGCGGUACCGCACCUGCGGACGGGAAAUCGUAGGUGCGGAAAUUGGACCUUAAGUGUAAGUCGCAGAUGCGACCCCUUGUUCCGCACAUGCGAACUGCAGAAGCGAUCCCAAGGCCGUAGAUGUGUAAACUGCUGGGCAGAUUAUUUUAAAAGGUGUUCCGCGACUUUGGGGUUUAUUUCACCGUUUUUAUCACGGCUUGGGAGCUUUUGGGACGAUUUGAAAGAGGGAUUUCAAGGGAACUUCGUUGAGGUAAGGAAUUUGGACCUAAAACUCGUUCCUAUGCUAUUAUUUCACGGGUUAGAGCUAGAAAUCAUGGAAAUUUAGGGUUAAAAUUGGGGAAAACUAGGGCUUGGUAUUGGAGACCUUUGAAUAAUGAUUUGAGGGAAAAAUUGAGGUCCGAUUUUGGUACUUUUUCUAUGCAUGAACUCGUGAGAGUGCGAGGUUUCUGGAAAUAUAAAUUUUACCCGAUUCCGAGAUGUGGGCCCGAGGGGCAUUUUUGUCAUUUUACAUAAUUUUGCGUAUUAGCUUAGACUUUAAUUGUAGAAUCAGUUACUUGAAGUAUUAUUUACAUUAUGCAAUUGAAUUGAAUAGAUUUGGGCUAUUUGGAGUCGAGUACUCGUGGCAAACGCGUGGUCUCGGGUUGAUUUUGAGCCAGUUCGAGGUAAGUGGCUUGUCUAACCUUGUGUGGGGGACCUUCCCCUUAGGAUUGAUAUAAUUGGUAAUUGACAUGCCUUGUACGUGAUGUGACGAGUGCGUACUUGUGCGAAUUGUUGGAAAUUCGGUUUUCUUUGAGUAUUGAUUAGUAUGUUUCUUUUCCUGCUUUUAUUGCUUGUACUAUUAAGCCUGUUGUUAGCUUAGGAAAGUAUGUCUAAGUAAUUUAUUUGCUUUAAUUGUUCAACUUGUUUAUCUGAACUCUAUGCAACAUGCUAGGCUAGAAUUACUAUUGCCUUAAUAUGGAAUUUCCAUUUCUGAAUAUUUUCUUGCUACUGCUGUGAAUUUACAUUGGGACUACGAAUGUGGGAUACUGGUAGCUCUCCCUUGUAUAUUUGUUUUGGGAAUAUAGAUGUAGGAUUCCGGUAGAUCCCCCUGCACAUUUAUAUGGAACUACGGGAAUUUACCUGGUAGAUUCCCCCAGUACUGGGUAUUUACAUUUGGGACUACGGAACGGGAUUCCUUUAGAUCCCCGCGCACUAUGAGUUGGACUACUAGACAGUAUCCCGGGAGACUUAUCGGAUAUGUGUAUGGGACUACAUGACGGUAUCCUGGGAGAUCCCCGAUCGAUAUUAUUGGUGCUGAGCUAUACUUUCUUCCGUGUUUACCUUGUUACUGUGUAGUUGUUGCUGUUCUGUAUAUUCUGUGUUAUUUUUCCUGCUGCACUUAUUCAUUCUGCCCUAUUCCAUACUGUUGAACUUUAUAUUUUUGUUUAACCUCAUUAGGGCCCUAACCUGCCUCGUCACUAUCCGAGCGAGGUUAGACUUGACACUUACUAAGUACCGUUGUGGUGUACUCAUGCCCCUUCUGCGCAUGUUUUUCAUGUGCAGAUCCAGGUACCGCUACUCAGGCCUACCAUCCUUGAGGGAGGCGACUGCUUAGCGACUUCGAGGUACAUCUACCGCGUUCGCAGACCGAGGAGUCCCUUUCUAUUCCUGCUUUAGGUAUUUNNNNNNNNNNNNNNNNNNNNNNNNNNNNNNNNNNNNNNNNNNNNNNNNNNNNNNNNNNNNNNNNNNNNNNNNNNNNNNNNNNNNNNNNNNNNNNNNNNNNNNNNNNNNNNNNNNNNNNNNNNNNNNNNNNNNNNNNNNNNNNNNNNNNNNNNNNNNNNNNNNNNNNNNNNNNNNNNNNNNNNNNNNNNNNNNNNNNNNNNNNNNNNNNNNNNNNNNNNNNNNNNNNNNNNNNNNNNNNNNNNNNNNNNNNNNNNNNNNNNNNNNNNNNNNNNNNNNNNNNNNNNNNNNNNNNNNNNNNNNNNNNNNNNNNNNNNNNNNNNNNNNNNNNNNNNNNNNNNNNNNNNNNNNNNNNNNNNNNNNNNNNNNNNNNNNNNNNNNNNNNNNNNNNNNNNNNNNNNNNNNNNNNNNNNNNNNNNNNNNNNNNNNNNNNNNNNNNNAUUUCUGUUUUAAAUUGUUUUACUUCCGCAAAUUUUUGGUUUUUCUUCCUCAAUUUAGGCUUACCUAGUCGUUGAGACUAGGUGACAUCACGAUGGUUCACGGAGGGUGACCCGUGGUUGUGACAAGUUAGUAUCAAAGCGCUAGGUUCAUAGGCUAUGUAAUUGUUAGGAAAAUUUCCACUUCAUUUGAUUUCCUUGUCGUGCGAUAUUUUGACAUCACAAUUCUAAACUUCUGUCUUCUAUUCUCUCAUAGAUGGUGAGGACACGUGCUACCUGAGAUGAUCAGGCACCCGCGCCCCCUACUGCAGCCGUCAGAGGUUGGGACUGGGGUAGAGGCCGAGGAUGCGCACGUGGUGCAUCUAGAGCACAUGCGCGAGCUGCCGCCGUGGUACCAUCCGCAGUUCCAGCUGGAGUCCAGGCACCUAAUACGCCUACUUAUACUACUAAUCCAGCCCUUCAGGAGAGUCUGGUGCAGUUCAUGAGCAUGUACACCACCUUGGCUCAGGCAGGGUUACUUCCCCUUGCCUCACCCACAUCCCAGGCCGGGGGAGGAGCACAAACUCCCGCCGCCCGCACUCCUGAGCAGCAAGUUCAUGUUGAGCGGGUCCUUGAGAUUAUUCUUGUACCGCCUGCAGUGCUAGUUCAUCCCGAGGACAGGGCAGCGGCUUCUGAGGAUGAGCAGUUGAGGCUUGAGAGGUUCAAGAAGUACAAGCCUUCUGUAUUCAGUGGUCUAGCAUCAGACGAUUCUCUGGGAUUUCUAGAUGAGUGUUACCGUAUUCUCUGUACCAUGGGUAUAUCAGGAUCGAGCGGGGUUUCCUUCAGUACAUUCCAGCUUCGAGGAGCCGCCUAUGAGUGGUGGUGCACCUAUGAGUUAGACAGUCCGGAUGAGGCUGCUUCGCUGACUUGGACUCAGUUUUCGGAUCUGUUCUUGAGGGAGUAUGUUCCUCAGAUCCUCAGGGACGUAUGGCGUGCAGAGUUUGAGCAUUUGCGCUAGGGUGCUAUGGCUGUCUCAGAGUAUGUAGUCCGUUACACCAGCUUGGCCAGACAUGCCCCGACCUUGGUUUCUACUGUCCGCGAUAGGGUUCGCCGGUUUAUUGAGGGCCUUAUUCCCAGCAUCAGAUCUAGCAUGGCUCGUGAGUUGGAGAUGGAUAUUUCUUAUCAGCAGGCGGUGAGCAUUGCUAGGAGGAUUGAGGGCAUGCAUGCUAGGGAGAGAGAGGAGAGGGAGGCCAAGAGGUCUCUAGAGUCGGGCCAUUUCUCUGGUGCCUGUGCUCCACUUGUAGGUCGUCAUUGUAGGGGUUAUAUGAGUCGCCCUGUUCAUUCAGCUCUUCCAGCAGCCAUUAGUUCUCCAGCUUCUCCUAGGCCUCAGGAGCCUUAUUGUGCACCACUGGUAUCUAGCGUGCCUCCUACGCGGGGUGCUUUCAGAGGUCAGUCCAACAGACCUCCCUAGCUAGUCAUAGCCACCACGUCCUCCCAAAGUUUGUUUUGGGUGUGGUGACACAUGCCAUAUGGUGAGGUAUUGCCCCAAACUUGGGAGGGGUGUAUCUCCACAGACUUCUCAGCUACAGCGUGCCCCACAGAGUUCUCAGGCUAUGGUUACAGCCCCAGUUGCUACCCUACUUGCUCAGCCAGCUAGAGGUAGAGGUCGGGGAGGUAGAGGUCGCCCUCGAGGGGGAGUCCAUGCCAGAUACUAUGCCCUUCCUACCCGUACUGAGGUUGUCGCCUCCGAUUCUAUCAUCACAGGUAUUAUACUGGGUUGUCACAGAGAUGCAUCAGUUCUAUUCGAUCCAGACUUCACUUACUCUUAUGUGUCUUCUUAUUUUGCUCCAUAUUUGGGUGUACCUCGGGAUUCUUUGAGUUCCCAUGUUUAUGUUUCUACUGUUGUGGGAGAUUCUCUUGAUGUGGACCACAUUUAUAGGUCGUGUUUGGUUGCUUAGUGGUUUUGAGACUAGAGCUAAUUUAUUGUUACUUAGCAUGGUUGACUUUGAUAUUGUCUUAGGUAUGGACUGGUUGUCGCCCCAUUAUACUAUUCUUGAUUGUCACUCCAAAAUCGUGACGCUGGCUAUGCCAGGUGUAUCGCGUGUUGAGUGGAGGGGUACUUUAGAUCACACUCCCAGUAGAGUUAUUUCUUUUCUUAUGGCUCAACGUAUGGUUGAGAAGGGGUGUGACGCGUAUUUAGCUUAUGUGAGAGAUGUUAGUGUUGAUACCCCUUCAGUUGAUUCAGUCCCAGUAGCACGGGAUUUUCCCGAUGUGUUUCCAUCUGACCUUCUAGGCAUGCCGCUUGAUAGAGAUAUUGAUUUUGGCAUUGAUAUGUUGCCAAGCACUCAUCCCAUUUCUAUUCCUCCGUAUCGUAUAACUCCUCUUGAGUUGAAGGAGUUGAAAGAUCAGUUACAAGUAUUGCUUGAUAAGGGUUUCAUUCGGCCUAGUGUAUCGCCUUGGAGUGCUCCUAUCUUGUUUGUGAAGAAAAAGGAUGGUUCUAUGCGUAUGUGCAUUGAUUACCGCUAGUUGAACAAGGUUACAGUGAAGAACUGUUAUCCUUUGCCUCGUAUUGAUGAUCUGUUUGACCAGCUUCAGGGCGCACAUGUGUUUUAUAAGAUUGACUUGCGCUCUGGUUACCAUCAGUUGAAGAUUCGGGAGCCAGAUAUCUCAAAAACUGCUUUCAAGACUCGGUAUGGUCAUAACGAGUUCCUUGUUAUGUCAUUUGGGCUGACCAAUGCCCCAACAGCCUUUAUGCAUUUGAUGCACAGUGUGUUCCGGCCGUAUCUUGUCUCGUUCGUCAUUGUCUUUAUUGAUGAUAUUCUGGUGUAUUCCCGGAAUCGGGAAGAUCAUGAGCAGCACCUGAGGACUGUGCUUCAGACUCUAAGAGAGAAUAAGUUAUAUGCUAAGUUCUCGAAAUGUGAGUAUUGGUUGGAUUCAGUGGCAUUCUUAUGCCACGUGGUAUCGAGUGAGGGUAUUUAGGUGGAUCCGAAGAAGAUAGAGGCCGUGCAGAGUUGUCCCAAACCAUCCUCAGCUAUAGAGAUCCAUAGUUUUUUUGGCUUGGUGGGCUACUACCGUCAUUUUGUGGAGGAGAUUUCAUCGAUUGCAGCCCCUAUGACUAGGUUGAACUAGAAGGGUGCUCCGUUUCAGUGGACAGAGGAGUGUGAGGCUAGCUUUCAGAAGAUCAAUACAGCUUUGACUACAACCCCAAUUUUGAUACUGCCUACAGGUUCGGGGUCUUAUACAAUUUAUUGUGAUGCCUCGAGGAUUGGCCUCAGAGCGGUGUUGAUGCAAGACGGUAGGGUGAUUGCCUACGCGUCCAGACAGUUGAAGAUUCAUGAGAAGAAUUACCCUAUUCACGACCUUGAGUUAGCUACCAUUGUUCACACCCUGAAGAUUUGGCGCCAUUAUUUAUACAAGGUUCCCUGUGAGAUUUAUACUGACCAUCGGAGCUUGCAGCACCUGUUCAAGCAAAAGGAUAUAAAUUUACGCCAGAGGAGAUGGUUAGAGUUGCUGAAGGAUUAUAAUAUCACUAUUUUGUAUCACCUGGGCAGGGCCAAUAUGGUGGCCUAUGCUUUGAGUCGCCGGGCAGAGAGUUUGGGGAGUUUGGCUUAUUUACCAGCAUCAGAGAGGCCUAUGGCGAUGGAUGUUCAGGCCUUAGCCAGCCAAUUUGUGAGAUUGGAUCUUUCGGAGCCCAGUCGGGUUCUAGCUUGUGUGGUUUCUUGGUCUUCCUUAUUUGAUCAUAUUAGGGAGCGACAGUAUGAUGACCCUCAUUUGCUUGUCCUCAAGGACAAGGUUCAACACGACGAUGCCAGAGAUGUGACUAUUGGUGAUGAUGGGGUAUUGAGGAUGCAGGAUCGGAUUUGUGUACCCAAUGUUGAUGGGCUGCGAGGGUUGAUUCUAGAGGAGGCCCAUAGUUCACGAUAUUCCAUCCAUCCGGGUGCCGCGAAGAUGUAUCAGGAUUUGAGGCAGAACUAUUGGUGGAGGCAGAUGAAGAAAGAGAUAGUUGGAUUCGUAGCUCGUGUCUCAAAUGUCAUCAGGUGAAGUAUGAGCACCAGAGAUCGGGUGGGUUACUUCAACAGAUAGAGAUCCCGGAGUGGAAGUGGGAGCGGAUCACCAUGGACUUUGUAGUUGGGCUCCCACAGACUUUGAUGAAGUUUGAUGCUAUUUGGGUGAUUGUGGAUCAACUGACCAAGCCCGCUCAUUUCAUUCCUGUGUGUACUACUUAUUCUUUAGAGCGGUUGGCGGAGAUUUAUAUACGGGAGAUUGUUCGUCUGCAUGGUAGUCUAGUUUCCAUUAUUUCAGAUAGAGGUACUCAGUUCACAUCACGGUUCUGGAGGGCCGUUCAGCAUGAGUUGGGCACCCGAGUAGAGUUGAGUACAUCAUUUCACCCUUAGACGGACGGACAGUCCGAGCGCACUAUUCAGAUUCUUGAGGAUAUGCUUCGUGCGUGUGUGAUUGAGUUUAGAGGGUCUUAGGAUUAGUUCUUGCCAUUGGCGGAGUUUGCUUACAACAACAACUAUUAGGCCAACAUUCAGAUGGCACCGUAUGAGGUGUAUAUGGUAGACGGUGUAGAUCCCCGGUGGGCUGGUUUGAGCCGGGUAAGGCUAGAUUAUUGGGCACAGACUUAGUUCAGGAUGCCUUGGAGAAGGUUAAGGUGAUUCAGGAUAGACUCUGUAUAGCGUAAUCCAGACAGAAAAGUUACGCGGACCGGAAGGUUCAUGAUGUUUCCUAUAUGGUUGGAGAGCGGGCUCUGCUUCGAGUUUCACCUAUGAAGGGCAUUAUGAGAUUUGGGAAGAAAGGGAAGUUAAGUCCGAGGUUUAUUGGCCCUUUUAAGAUAUUGAGGCGUGUUGGGGAGGUUGCUUAUGAGCUUGUCUUACCUCCCAGCUUGGUAGGAGUCCAUCCAGUAUUUCAUGUUUCGAUGCUCCAGAGGUAUCACGGUGACCCGUCGCACGUGUUGGAUUUCAGUUCAGUCCAGUUGGACAAGGAUCUAUCCUAUGUUGAGGAGCCAGUGACAAUAUUGAACAGGCAGGUCAGAAAGUUGAGGUCACAGAACAUUGCAUCAGUGAAGGUUCAAUGGCGGGGUCAGCCGGUCGAGGAGGUGACAUGGGAGACCGAGCAAGAUAUGCGCAGCCGUUACCCUCAUAUUUUCACUACUUCAGGUAUGCCUCUAUGCUAGUUCGAGGACGAACGAAUGUUUAAGUGUAGGAGGAUGUGACGACCCGAUCGGUCAUCUUAAGAAUUUACUCCCCGAUCCCCUAUUAACUGCUUUCCCCAAGUUUAUUUCUGUUAUUUUUAUUUGCCGGGAUGUUCAGUUUUGAGUUUCGGAGAGUUUUGGGACAUUUAGUUCCUAAAUGAAAGCUUAAGUGUUGGAAAGUUGACCAUAGUCGGAAUAGUAUGAAGACGGCCUCGGAAUGAAAAUCCGAUGGUUCCGUUAGCUUCGCUAGGCGAUUUUGGGCUUAGGAGCGUGUUCAGAUUGUGAUUUGGAGGUCCAUAGCAAAUUUAGGCUUGAAAUGCCGAAAGUUAAAUAUUUGAAGUUUCCGGUUCGAUAGUGAGAUUUUGAUCCGAGGAUCGGAAUGAAAUUCCGAAAGUUGGAGUAGCUCCAUAGUGUUGAAUGUGACGUGUGUGCAAAAUUUCAGGUCAUUCGGACGAGAUUUGCUAGACUUUUUGAUCGAAAGCGUAUUUUGAGAAAAUUUGGAGUUCUUAGGCUUAAAUCCUUGGUUAAUUCGAGGUUUCGAUGUUGUUUUAGGUGUUUUAAGGAUUGGUACAAGUUUGGGUAGUGUUUUGUGACUAGUUGGUGCCUUUGGUUGAUGUCCCGGGGGGCCUCGGGAUGAAUUCAGAUGGUUGACGGAAGAAAUUUUGGAGUUUAAGUUACAGCUUCAGCUGCUGGUGCUGUCAUAACCGCACCAGCGGUUUGGGUUCCGCAGGUGUGGCACUGCAGAUGCGGAUCAGCGAUCGCAGGAGUGGAGUUGUGGAGAAACAGCAGGUUCCGCAGAUGCGGGUAAUUAACUGUAGAAGCGGUACCGCACCUGUGGACGGGAAAUCGCUGGUGCGAAAAUUGGACCUAAGUGUAAGUCGCAGAUGCGACCCCUUGUUCCGCACAUGCAGGACCGCAAAAGCGGUCCCAAGGCCACAAGUGCGUAAACUGCUGGGCAGAUUAUUUUAAAAGGGGUUCCACAACUUUGGGGUUUAUUUCACCAUUUUUAUCACGGCUUGGGAGCUUUUGGGACGAUUUGAAAGAGGGAUUUCAAGGGAACUUCAUUGUGGUAAAGAAUUUGGACCUAAAACUCGUUCCUAUGCUAUUAUUUCACGGAUUAGAGCUAGAAAUCAUGGAAAUUUAGGGUUAAAAUUGGGGAAAAAUAGGGCUUGGUAUUGGAGACCUUUGAAUAAUGAUUUGAGGGACAAAUUGAGGUCCGAAUAAGGUACUUUUGCUAUACAUGAACUCGUGAGAGUGCGAGGUUUCUAGAAAUAUAAAUUUUACCCGAUUUCGAGACGUGGGCUUGAGGGGCAUUUUGGCCAUUUUACAUAAUUUUGUGUAUUAGCUUAGACUUUAAUUGUAGAAUCAGUUAUUUGAAGUGUUAUUUCCAUUAUGCAAUUGAAUUGAAUAGAUUUGGGCAAUUUGGAGUCGAGUACUCGUGGAAAGAGCGUAGUCUCGGGUUGAUUUUGAGCCGAUUCGAGGUAAGUGGCUUGUCUAACCUUGUGUGGGGGGCCUUCCCCUUAGGAUUGAUAUAUUUGGUAAUUGAAAUGCCUUGUAUGUGAGGUAACGAGUGCGUACUUGUGCGAAUUGUUGGAAAUCCGGUUUUCUUUAAGUAUUGAUUAGUGUGUUUCUCUUCCUACUUUUAUUGCUUGUACUAUUAAGCCUGUUGUUAGCUAGGAAAGCAUGUCUAAGUAAUUUAUUUGCUUUAAUUAUUCAACCUAUUUAUCUGAACUCUGUGCAACAUGCUAGGCUAGAAUUACUGUUGCCUUAAUAUGAAAUUUCCAUUUCUGAAUAUUUUCUUGCUGCUGCUAUGUAUUUACAUUGGGACUACGGAUGUGGGAUUCCGGUAGCUCCCCCUUAUCUGUUUAUUUUGGAAAUACGGAUGUGGGAUUCUGGUAGAUCCCCUUGCACAGUUAUAUGGAACUACAGGAAUUUACCCGGUAGAUUCCCCCAGUCCUGGGUAUUUACAUUUGGGACUACGAAAUGGGAUUCUAGUAGAUCCCCGUGCACUAUGAGUUGGACUACGGGACGGUAUCCCGGGAGACUUAUCGGAUAUGUGUAUUUGGGACUACAGGACGGUAUCCUGGGAGAUCCCCAAUCGAUAUUAUUGGUGCUGAGCUGUACUUUCUUCCGUGUUUACCUUGUUACUGUGUAGUUGUUGCUGUUCUGUAUAUUCUGUGUUAUUUUCCCUAUUGCACUUAUUUAUUCUGUCCUAUUUCAUACUGUUGAACUUUAUAUUUUUGUUUAACCUCAAUAUGGCCCUGACCUUCCUCGUCACUACCCGACCGAGGUUAGGCUUGGCACUUACUGAGUACCGCUGUGGUGUACUCAUAUCCCUUCUGUGCAUGUUUUUCAUGUUCAGAUCCAGGUACCGCUACUCAGGCCUACCAUCCUUGAGGGAGGCGACUGCUUAGAGACUUCGAGGUACAUCUGCCGUAUCCGCAGACCGAGGAGUCCCUUUCUAUUCCUGCUUUAGUAUUUAGCCCUUCUGUAUUUUCUAUUCUAUUUAGACAUUCCGGAGUUAGAGCUAUGUAGUACUUCUUAGCUUGUGAUUCGUGGGUUUUCGGGUCUUAGAUUUAUGUAUUGGUGUUGAGAGUUAAUAUGGUGUAUGUCGAGCGACACAUUUAAACACUGCUAUUGCUUCAUUUCUGUUUUAAAUUGUUUUACUUCCUCAAUUUUUUGUUUUUUCUUCCGCAAUUAGGCUUACCUAGUCGUAGAGACUAGGUGCCGUCACGAUGGUUCACGGAGGAAGAACCGGGGUGGUGACAAUAUUUUAGGGAAUCUGGUAUUGUGUACUAAUUACUAAAAUUAUAGAUUGUAAGUGUUUAAACCUAUAAACAUGAUAUCUAGAUGCAGUAGUUGACAAUGAUAACCAUGGGAGAUAUCAGAAUUACUUAAUCUGCUCCUAUAUGCAUGCUUUCUAAUAAUGGCAACGAAACAAUGUUUGAAAGUUCAAUAUUAGCACUUAAAAGCGAGUGGGAUUAUCCUAUAGGCAUGAUUUCUACAAUUAGCGAUUGAAACUGGUUUUAGCUCUUAUAAGCAUGUCUCCUAAGUGAGUAAUUAUAACAACAGUACAUUAACUAAUUAAAAUCCUAUAGGCAUGAUUUCUAGAAUGCAGGUUUGUAGAACAUAAGCUAACAUGAACAUAUGGUCAUAGUGUCUACUAGAUAUUCUGUGAUGCAAAUUGAAACAUUGGUUACUUUAUUUCCUAUAGGCAUGAUAUCUAACAAACAUGUAGAAGAAGAAUAUGUUAAACGAAUUAAGCACCUAUAGGCAGGGUAUCUAACACACACAGUAGCAGAACAUGUUCGAGCAAAUUAAACACCUAUAGCCAAAAUUUCUACCCGUUUCAUGCAAAUAUUAAAAUAAACCCAUUUUUUCAAUUUUGCUAACAACCCAAUUGUUAUUAUAGCAUUAUUAUGAAAUAAAUUACAGAGUUAUAAAUAGAUAUAGUGGGCCUAAGGCAGGCCCAAAGUAUACCUGACCAGGCCUUCAAUCUCAAGUCCACAUAGUUUCACAACAGCCUAGAAAAUAAUCUUCAUAGCCAAAACCCAGUAGCCAUCAAAGAUUCAGAAAACAUCUAUGUACACAAGCCCAUUGGCUCAUUCAGUAGGUAGAAAAUGGGUAGGAUGGGGCAUUUAGGAUAGGGUACCAAAGAACCUUAGACCCUAGUAUGUUAGAGUUCACAAGGGUCUCAAUUGGACCCCGAGAAGUGCUUACACUAGGGAGGUCAAUGAUAGAACCUAGGUAGUAUUGGCUUUCAGCCGGCUAAGAAUGAGAAAUCAAAAGAGCCCAAGCAAAAAGUGAAAGAGAGUAAACUAAGGUUGAGGGACAACACUGAAGGAUACAAACAUAGUCAAGUUGAGCACAUAUAGCAGAUAAUCAAACAUGCUUUAGGUUUUAAGAGCAGGCUUAGCAAAGAUUCAAAAGAACAAGUGCAACACCUAGUGCAUAAGUAGUCACACAUUAACAAAAUAAGUUUGCAGGAUUGGUGUACACAUACUCAAAGUAAGGAAAACGUUCAAAUUAUGCUAAGUAUAGGUACUAGUGUCACAAGAGGGAAUCGCAUUAAUUGACAACAGAAUUUAGACAUGGUGAGAACAGAUCACUGCAACUACUGGGAAGUCAUGACAUGUUAGGAGCAUACUAAUAAGGAACAGGAUCAAACAUACUACGUAUGCAGGAUCAUCAUAGCAAAUUCAGAAUAGGAUAAGAGACAAAGAUAAAUGUAGACAUGCGAUUUUUGACCCUCCCCAAGAUUUUUCAUAUUUUAGCACGUAAGUAUUUAAUUUAGGCCUAAUAUAACUAUUUCAACUCAUUUUUACUCUUUUACUUUUAUUUUAUUACAAGAAAACAAAAAUUACAAAAAAUAGGUUCAUUAAUAUUUUGUAGUCAUCUUAAUCUUGAAAAAAUACCAAAAAAUAGUUUUGUUUUAACGGGCAGUCUUAUUUUAAUAAUUAUUUUUACUUAAGUAGGGUUAAUUAAUAUUUUUGGUAAUAUUUCUAUAUGGAUAGAUUUUUAGUUAAUAAAGCUAAUUUUAAGCAAAACUAGUCAUAAAGGUCCAUAAUUUUCAAGCCCAUAAUUCCUAGGCCCAUACCCCUUAACCUAGAAAAACCCCUACACUUGAUAUCAUCAGCCGUUGAAUAGGAUAGAGAAGACACCUACCUCCCCUGCCCUUCCUGAAACGAGCGAGCAUCCAAGUCUUCAACCGUGGUCACCAUCCCAAAAAUCUGGAAGCUCCAAUCUCCUUAAUCACUUACUGCUACUGCAAUCGAAAGAAUUCCACAUUUUUACUAUCCAAAGCUGUAGUAAUUCUAUUCAACCACGGAAAACUUGAGGAAUUGAAGGGGUCAAGAAUGUAGGUUGGAAUUGGAGCUAUCACUAAGGGCCUUUGAAUCUGCUUUGUUCCAAAUUAAAUGGCGUCUCAAACUUCCAUCAAAGCUUCUUCAUUAAAAGAUUUCCAACAGUAAAAGUCAUGGUAUUAUGGUUUUCUAUCAAUUUCAAUUUCUGUUGGACUUCAUGAUAGGUAGUAUCAUAGCGAGACUUUUGUUCAU
rnacentral:lncRNA from 1 species